rnacentral:rRNA from 2 species
CGCAACGAGCGCAACCCUUAUCCUUUGUUGCCAGCGGUCCGGCCGGGAACUCAAAGGAGACUGCCAGUGAUAAACUGGAGGAAGGUGGGGAUGACGUCAAGUCAUCAUGGCCCUUACGACCAGGGCUACACACGUGCUACAAUGGCGCAUACAAAGAGAAGCGACCUCGCGAGAGCAAGCGGACCUCAUAAAGUGCGUCGUAGUCCGGAUUGGAGUCUGCAACUCGACUCCAUGAAGUCGGAAUCGCUAGUAAUCGUGGAUCAGAAUGCCACGGUGAAUACGUUCCCGGGCCUUGUACACACCGCCCGUCACACCAUGGGAGUGGGUUGCAAAAGAAGUAGGUAGCUUAACCUUCGGGAGGGCGCUUACCACUUUGUGAUUCAUGACUGGGGUGAAGUCGUAACAAGGUAACCGUAGGGGAACCUGC